UGCAUAUGUGUAUAUCAGUGCUCUACAACCUUUUUUUCACUUGCGGUACACUUGUAUUCUUUUCAAAAUUCUGUGGCACACCUGAACUAAAAAUAUAACUAAAAGUAUAGGGGAAAAAAUUAUAUUCAGGUUACACUGCGGCACACCUAGCAUCCUCUAACAUUAACAA